rnacentral:rRNA from 1 species
CUACGAAGGGGGCUAGCGUUGUUCGGAAUUACUGGGCGUAAAGCGCGCGUAGGCGGACUGAUCAGUUGGGGGUGAAAUCCCAGGGCUUAACCCUGGAACUGCCUCCAAUACUGUCAGUCUUGAGUUCGGGAGAGGUGAGUGGAAUUCCUAGUGUAGAGGUGAAAUUCGUAGAUAUUAGGAAGAACACCAGUGGCGAAGGCGGCUCACUGGCCCGAUACUGACGCUGAGGCGCGAAAGCGUGGGGAGCAAACAGAAUUAGAAACCCUAGUAGUCC